GAGGGGACGGGCCCUUGAAGAGGCGGGGCUGGGCUCCUCGCCGCUGCUGCGGGGUCACGGUCACUUCCCUCGCGUUUUUAGGGGGAAACGCCGCAAAGCCUCAGGUGCGGAGCUGCUGGGGAGUGUAGGAACUCCAGGACCCUCAGUUUCCCGGCCACCGAGGACUGAGGUGCAGGAAGAAGGCCUGGCCUUCACAGAGUCUAGAGGGAGGCAGUCCACAUUUAUUGAACGCUUAGCAUCUGUUUGUUGGCACCUUACAAGGCCAACUUAAUGCCCACCGGUUGAAGUGGGAGCUACCAUUACUCACAUCUCGCAGAACUGAAUCCCAGGCUCACUUGUCUCUAGAGAUGCAUCCCUCCUCCUUUCAGAGCUGAUCAUGCCUCCCUAGGAAAUCCUAGGGCUACUUCUGGUCAAAAGAAGUUUUUAUACUAGUUCAAUAGGAAAACAAUGGAGCAUCUUUGGUCCGUGAUGGUGUCAUUGGGUUUCUGCCUUGGAACCCAUGGACUAGUCUGGAGACCACACUCGUACCCUCCAAUGUGCUAUAGCAAGGGUUCAGCUUCCCAUCCCACUGGGAAUGCUUCAGAGUAUCCUGAGAUCAGAUGACUUUUCCCUGCACCCUGCACCUCCUUGGGCCUUCACUCAACUUUACUCCAGGUGCCAGUAACAACCUUUCGUACUGGUGACAACCCAAAAUGUUUCAAAUAAUUGCCAAAUGUCUCCUGGGAGUUGAAACCAUCCUCAAUAGAGAACUACUGCUCAAAGCCAUGGAUAAAACAAACCAAAUACAUCUGACCUAGAAGCUGUGACCCCAGGGCUCAAGAUGUCUUAGCCUGUAUGACUCAUAGCUACAAAGAACAGGCUGCCUUUCAGACUAGACCAGUUCACUUAUACAUUGUCUACAUGAUUAACCAAUGUUAACAGAGUUUAGAAUCCAAAAAGUCUGCUCAGACCUAGGGCAGAAGA